rnacentral:rRNA from 1 species
AUUGAACGCUGGCGGCAUGCCUUACACAUGCAAGUCGAACGGCAGCACGGGAGCAAUCCUGGUGGCGAGUGGCGAACGGGUGAGUAAUACAUCGGAACGUGUCCAGUAGUGGGGGAUAGCCCGGCGAAAGCCGGAUUAAUACCGCAUACGACCUACGGGUGAAAGCGGGGGAUCGCAAGACCUCGCGCUAUUGGAGCGGCCGAUGGCAGAUUAGCUAGUUGGGGGGUAAAGGCCUACCAAGCGACGAUCUGUAGCUGGUCUGAGAGGACGACCAGCCACACUGGGACUGAGACACGGCCCAGACUCCUACGGGAGGCAGCAGUGGGGAAUUUUGGACAAUGGCGCAAGCCUGAUCCAGCCAUGCCGCGUGCGGGAAGAAGGCCUCGGUU